rnacentral:rRNA from 1 species
AUUGAACGCUGGCGGCAUGCCUUACACAUGCAAGUCGAACGGUAACAGGUCUCCGGAUGCUGACGAGUGGCGAACGGGUGAGUAAUACAUCGGAACGUGCCUAGUAGUGGGGGAUAACUACUCGAAAGAGUGGCUAAUACCGCAUGAGAUCUACGGAUGAAAGCAGGGGAUCACAAGACCUUGUGCUACUAGAGCGGCCGAUGGCAGAUUAGGUAGUUGGUGGGAUAAAAGCUUACCAAGCCGACGAUCUGUUGCUGGUCUGAGAGGACGAUCAGACACACUGGGACUGAGACACGGCCCAGACUCCUACGGGAGGCAGCAGUGGGGAAUUUUGGACAAUGGGCGAAAGCCUGAUCCAGCAAUGCCGCGUGCAGGAUGAAGGCCUUCGGGUUGUAAACUGCUUUUGUACGGAACGAAAAGCCCCGGGUUAAUACCCUGGGGUCAUGACGGUACCGUAAGAAUAAGCACCGGCUAACUACGUGCCAGCCGCCGCGGUAA